rnacentral:rRNA from 1 species
UACGUAGGGAGCAAGCGUUGUCCGGAAUCAUUGGGCGUAAAGCGCGCGUAGGCGGCCCUGUAAGUCCGUUGUGAAAGUCAAAGGCUCAACCUUUGAAAGCCGAUGGAUACUGCAGGGCUAGAGUCCGGAAGAGGCGAGUGGAAUUCCUGGUGUAGCGGUGGAAUGCGCAGAUAUCAGGAGGAACACCAAUAGCGAAGGCGGCACUCUGGGCCGAUACUGACACUGAGGAGCGAAAGCGUGGGGAGCGAACAGG